AAAUGAUAAAGGCAAACCUAUUGAAAAAUGGGGACGCAAAGCUACAGGGGCUAACGCGAUUUUUCGCCAUGCCAGCCAGUUGCCGAC
rnacentral:ncRNA from 1 species